UACGUAGGGGGCAAGCGUUGUCCGGAGUUACUGGGCGUAAAGCGCACGCAGGCGGUCUCUUAAGUUUGGAGUGACAGUUGGUGGCUUAACUGCCAAAGUGCUUCGAAAACUGAGAGACUUGAGGGCUUCAGAGGGACACGGAAUUCCGGGUGGAGUGGUGAAAUGCGUAGAGAUCCGGAGGAACACCGAAGGCGAAGGCAGUGUCCUGGGGAGUACCUGACGCUCAGGUGCGAAAGCCAUGGGAGCGAACGGG
rnacentral:rRNA from 1 species